ACAGAGCCCCCGAUUCCCCUCAUCUCUCCCAGAUCGCCGCCACCUCUCCCUCCUCCGAUCCACCUCGCCGCCGCCGGCCCUUCCCUUCCCCUCCCCUCAUCCCACCGCGCAGCUCCGGCGGCUGCUGGAUCCAUCGCAUCCCCCACCCACCCAUCCCUCUUGCGUCCCAUCUCUAGCUCCCUUCACGCGCCUCCUCGCGAUGCCGUCCCAUUCGACUAGAUCCGCUGCUCACGGCCACCCCCCUGCCAAGGGUUUCGGGCGUCGGCUCCGGCGCCGGUGGCCAGGUCGUCCUCCUCUAGUACUCCUCUCUUCCGACGUGCAGGGAGGAACAGGCUACGUGUGAACUCCAUGGUGACGUUACUGACGGUGGUGUCAAUGGACGAGAUGUGCCUCGGCGUCGACGAGCAUGCACUGAGGCGGGAAGUGGAAAAGGAAUACAUCGUCAAGCAAACUCAAUGGUACGGUGCUCGAGGUGGAGGACGUGGCUAACAUGGCGCUGUACGUGGAGUCGGACGAGGCUAGGUAGCUCUCAAACUGCGCAAAGUCAAGAUUGAUGCUAUGGUACCAUUAAUGAUUCCAGCAGAAGAUAUUUGCAACCUGAAGUGUUACACAAGGUCAGCUUCAAGGCUAUGAAGCGAAAGAUCAGACAAAGGUUUUCGCCAUGUUUGUCCUUCAACUUAGUAACCAUUCAAAAGAUAUAUGGAUGAUUAUCUGGGUGUGUGGCAAGAAUACUGCAAUGAUGAUGACGGUGUUCUGGUUCAUGAUGAUGAUGAUGACGACGACAGACCCUUUUAGUUGUAGUUAAGUUGUAGGGAUGUUGUUCCUGUUGGAUAUGUUGGAUGAUGUUCCUGUUCCUUAGUUAAUUUUUUUGUUAAGUUGUAGGGAUGUUGAUGGAUGCUUUCGUUAAAGUUUUGAUGUCAAGAAAAUAUUUAGAUUGUGUAUCACAUUUGGAUGAAGUUCCUCAUGUAAUAUCCACUAUUGUAAUCCAACAGUUCUAUCCAAUA